UCCCUAGUAGCUCAGGUGGUAAAGAACCUGCCUUCAAUGUAGGAGACCUGGGUUUAAUCCCUGGGUGGGGAA
rfam:Ovis aries breed Texel chromosome 10, whole genome shotgun sequence.